rnacentral:tRNA from 1 species
GGGGAAUUAGCUCAAAUGUUAGAGUGCUCGCCUUGCAUGUGAGAGGUAGUGGGAUCAAUACCCACAUUCUCCA